rnacentral:rRNA from 1 species
UACGUAGGCAGCAAGCGUUGUUCGGAGUUACUGGGCGUAAAGGGUGUGUAGGCGGUUCUUUAAGUUUGCUGUGAAAUCUCCCGGCUUAACCGGGAGGGUGCGGUGAAUACUGAGGGACUAGAGUACGGGAGAGGAAAGUGGAAUUCCUGGUGUAGCGGUGAAAUGCGUAGAUAUCAGGAGGAACACCGGUGGUGUAGACGGCUUUCUGGACCGUAACUGACGCUGAGACACGAAAGCGUGGGGAUCAAACAGG